UGCCGUGAGUUAACCAAGAUGUCCAUACAGAAGAUGCAUUGGCGGGUGGGUGAAGAGAUGGUAAAACGGAUAAUUCAUGGUGAUCUUGAGAAGAAUUCCACAAAAAAAAAAAAAAAACAGAUUAACAGAUGAAACAAUCUCAUAAGCCACUUAACACUGAAUUUCUCUAGAACAAGAAUCUAUAAAAUUUUUUGAUCAAACACCCACUGGAAAAAUUUUUGAACAUGGACACCCAGUAUUUGAAGUUCUUGGUAAAUUACUGUGAGCAAAGAUUUAGCCAACCCCUUUUCCUUAUCUGUGAACGAAUUUCAGUUUGUGUUAACUUUAACUCGCCAUGGAAACCUUAUGAAGGCAGAAUGUUCAUUGUGGUAUAAAACAACAUUGGUUGUAGGCCAGGCGCGGUGGCUCAUGCCUGUAAUCCCAGCACUUUGGGAGGCCGAGACAGGAGGAUCACUUGAGGUCAGGAGUUCAAGAUCAGCCUGGCCCACAUGGCAAAACCCCAUCUCUACUAAAAAUACAAAAAUUAGCUGGGCGUAGUGGCACAUGUCUGUAAUCCCAGCUACUCGGGAGGCUGAGGCACGAGAAUCACUUGAACUCAGGAGGUGGAGGUUGCAGUGAGCCAAGAUCACACCACUACAUACCAACCUAGGUGACAAGAGUGAAACUCCAUUUCUAAAUAAAUAAAAAAAACAUUGCUCGUGGUGAAAAUGACCUCUGACUUAUAUUGUACACUGCCUCUGGCUUGAAAGUACUGAAUAAUCUUAAAACACCUGGUGGGAAGCCAUACCUUUAGCCUCUGUUACUGUCUUAAUUGAGUGUGGGAAUCUAAAAGAUAAACUCAGGGAACAAAUACGAGAGGUACUGGUUCCCGCCGGUCAAGGACUUCCAAAGCAAGCCCACACCCAUAUUGGUUUGCACUUGAUUUGCAUUUGGGGAGCCAAAGACUAUAGCUCUUCCAUGCCUGUACGGAGGGCGGUGAAGUAUGUUUCUUCUCAAUUCUCCAAAGUGGAGCUGCUGCCAGGUGUAGCGUUAUGAGUGUCAGGGGCUAAACCUAAGAAGACUACCUAGUGAGCACUGCAGUUUCAUACAUAUCCUACUGGAAAUCUUAAAAGCAAGCUUGGCUUUUUUUGUAAAUAACGUGAAUAUAGAAGUC